UACGGAGGGUGCAAGCGUUAAUCGGAAUUACUGGGCGUAAAGCGCACGCAGGUGGCUGAGUCAGUCGAUUGUGAAAGCCCUGGGCUUAACCUGGGAAUUGCAGUCGAUACUACUCAGCUAGAGUAUGGGAGAGGGUAGUGGAAUUCCCGGUGUAGCGGUGAAAUGCGUAGAUAUCGGGAGGAACAUCGGUGGCGAAGGCGGGUCUCUGGGCCGAUACUGACGCUGAGGAGCGAAAGCGUGGGGAGCGAACAGG
rnacentral:rRNA from 1 species